UGGGGAAUUUUGGACAAUGGGCGAAAGCCUGAUCCAGCAAUGCCGCGUGUGUGAAGAAGGCCUUCGGGUUGUAAAGCACUUUUGUCCGGAAAGAAAUCCUCUGGGUUAAUACCUCGGGGGGAUACGGUACCGGAAGAAUAAGCACCGGCUAACUACGUGCCAGCAGCCGCGGUAAUACGUAGGGUGCAAGCGUUAAUCGGAAUUACUGGGCGUAAAGCGUGCGCAGGCGGUUUUGUAAGACGGAUGUGAAAUCCCCGGGCUUAACCUGGGAACUGCAUUCGUGACUGCAAGGCUAGAGNAUGGCAGAGGGGGGUUAGAAUUCCACGUGUGANCAGUGAAAUGCGUAGAGAUGUGGAGGAAUACCGAUGGCGAAGGCAGCCCCCUGGGCCAAUACUGACGCUCAUGCACGAAAGCGUGGGGA
rnacentral:rRNA from 1 species